UGCUUAGCAACUGCUUAUUAAACUUUCCAGGAUGGAAGCAUGGACAAGGUAUACCAUGACGUUUGGGAAAAUCUCAAUAUUCAGAAACACAUUAAUUUUAGGGAGCUGAUUUCUAGCCUUUGAUGAAUCCACAUACUGGGUUCUGAAGUCACAGAGAGCAAAGCUGACACUCCUUUCGCACGCCAGACUCUCGGGGGGUGGAAGUCUACUGGUACAGCUCCUGAGAGCGCCCUCUACUUCGAGAUCAAGGACCUUCACUCGUUUAUCCACAUCACUCUAUCGUCCUGGCCACGAUGCUCUCUCUGGGGAAAUACCCUUGGUAGAAGCACGGAUACAUCGAUGAGGAGGGCAAUAGUGAAAGUUUGCUAAAAAUAUAUUUUUCAACUGGGAAUUUCUUUUAAAGAACAACAAAUCUUGGAACACUGAAAAAAAUAAAACAAAAUUAAGAUGUUAAAUAAAUAAAUAUAUAAAUGUGUAUUUUUGCUGCCCCCCCAAAAAAUAAAUAAAUAAAGAAUAGGUCUGUACCUUUUCCCCACCUAGAAAAUGUCUAAUGCCUAGCAAUUCAACAGCUACUUUUGGAUUCAAGUGACAAAUUGGGCAUAUGCUCCCCGGGCCACCUGUCGGAAGGCUGGUGUCACAAGCACAGCAAGAAAGGAAAAUCUUGGCAUAACACAUUUGAAAUGUCUUCC
rnacentral:lncRNA from 1 species